rnacentral:rRNA from 1 species
AGUCGACGAUGAAUCUUCUAGCUUGCUAGAAGUGGAUUAGUGGCGCACGGGUGAGUAAUGCAUAGGUUAUGUGCCCUUUAGUCUGGGAUAGCCACUGGAAACGGUGAUUAAUACUGGAUACUCCCUACGGGGGAAAGUUUUUCGCUAAAGGAUCAGCCUAUGUCCUAUCAGCUUGUUGGUGAGGUAAUGGCUCACCAAGGCUAUGACGGGUAUCCGGCCUGAGAGGGUGAUCGGACACACUGGAACUGAGACACGGUCCAGACUCCUACGGGAGGCAGCAGUAGGGAAUAUUGCUCAAUGGGGGAAACCCUGAAGCAGCAACGCCGCGUGGAGGAUGAAGGUUUUAGGAUUGUAAACUCCUUUUGUUAGAGAAGAUUAUGACGGUAUCUAACGAAUAAGCACCGGCUAACUCCGUGCCAGCAGCCGCGGUAAUACGGAGGGUGCAAGCGUUACUCGGAAUCACUGGGCGUAAAGAGUGCGUAGGCGGGGUAAUAAGUCAGAUGUGAAAUCCUGUAGCUUAACUACAGAACUGCAUUCGAAACUGUUACUCUGGAGUGUGGGAGAGGUAGGUGGAAUUCUUGGUGUAGGGGUAAAAUCCGUAGAGAUCAAGAGGAAUACUCAUUGCGAAGGCGACCUGCUGGAACAUUACUGACGCUGAUGCACGAAAGCGUGGGGAGCAAACAGGAUUAGAUACCCUGGUAGUCCACGCCCUAAACGAUGGAUGCUAGUUGUUGCCUUGCUUGUCAGGGCAGUAAUGCAGCUAACGCAUUAAGCAUCCCGCCUGGGGAGUACGGUCGCAAGAUUAAAACUCAAAGGAAUAGACGGGGACCCGCACAAGCGGUGGAGCAUGUGGUUUAAUUCGA